GGUUAAGCGACUAAGCGUACACGGUGGAUGCCCUGGCAGUCAGAGGCGAUGAAGGACGUGCUAAUCUGCGAUAAGCGUCGGUAAGGUGAUAUGAACCGUUAUAACCGGCGAUUUCCGAAUGGGGAAACCCAGUGUGUUUCGACACACUAUCAUUAACUGAAUCCAUAGGUUAAUGAGGCGAACCGGGGGAACUGAAACAUCUAAGUACCCCGAGGAAAAGAAAUCAACCGAGAUUCCCCCAGUAGCGGCGAGCGAACGGGGAGCAGCCCAGAGCCUGAAUCAGUGUGUGUGUUAGUGGAAGCGUCUGGAAAGGCGCGCGAUACAGGGUGACAGCCCCGUACACAAAAAUGCACAUGCUGUGAGCUCGAUGAGUAGGGCGGGACACGUGGUAUCCUGUCUGAAUAUGGGGGGACCAUCCUCCAAGGCUAAAUACUCCUGACUGACCGAUAGUGAACCAGUACCGUGAGGGAAAGGCGAAAAGAACCCCGGCGAGGGGAGUGAAAAAGAACCUGAAACCGUGUACGUACAAGCAGUGGGAGCCUCUUUUAUGGGGUGACUGCGUACCUUUUGUAUAAUGGGUCAGCGACUUAUAUUCUGUAGCAAGGUUAACCGAAUAGGGGAGCCGAAGGGAAACCGAGUCUUAACUGGGCGUUAAGUUGCAGGGUAUAGACCCGAAACCCGGUGAUCUAGCCAUGGGCAGGUUGAAGGUUGGGUAACACUAACUGGAGGACCGAACCGACUAAUGUUGAAAAAUUAGCGGAUGACUUGUGGCUGGGGGUGAAAGGCCAAUCAAACCGGGAGAUAGCUGGUUCUCCCCGAAAGCUAUUUAGGUAGCGCCUCGUGAAUUCAUCUCCGGGGGUAGAGCACUGUUUCGGCAAGGGGGUCAUCCCGACUUACCAACCCGAUGCAAACUGCGAAUACCGGAGAAUGUUAUCACGGGAGACACACGGCGGGUGCUAACGUCCGUCGUGAAGAGGGAAACAACCCAGACCGCCAGCUAAGGUCCCAAAGUCAUGGUUAAGUGGGAAACGAUGUGGGAAGGCCCAGACAGCCAGGAUGUUGGCUUAGAAGCAGCCAUCAUUUAAAGAAAGCGUAAUAGCUCACUGGUCGAGUCGGCCUGCGCGGAAGAUGUAACGGGGCUAAACCAUGCACCGAAGCUGCGGCAGCGACACUAUGUGUUGUUGGGUAGGGGAGCGUUCUGUAAGCCUGCGAAGGUGUGCUGUGAGGCAUGCUGGAGGUAUCAGAAGUGCGAAUGCUGACAUAAGUAACGAUAAAGCGGGUGAAAAGCCCGCUCGCCGGAAGACCAAGGGUUCCUGUCCAACGUUAAUCGGGGCAGGGUGAGUCGACCCCUAAGGCGAGGCCGAAAGGCGUAGUCGAUGGGAAACAGGUUAAUAUUCCUGUACUUGGUGUUACUGCGAAGGGGGGACGGAGAAGGCUAUGUUGGCCGGGCGACGGUUGUCCCGGUUUAAGCGUGUAGGCUGGUUUUCCAGGCAAAUCCGGAAAAUCAAGGCUGAGGCGUGAUGACGAGGCACUACGGUGCUGAAGCAACAAAUGCCCUGCUUCCAGGAAAAGCCUCUAAGCAUCAGGUAACAUCAAAUCGUACCCCAAACCGACACAGGUGGUCAGGUAGAGAAUACCAAGGCGCUUGAGAGAACUCGGGUGAAGGAACUAGGCAAAAUGGUGCCGUAACUUCGGGAGAAGGCACGCUGAUAUGUAGGUGAAGUCCCUCGCGGAUGGAGCUGAAAUCAGUCGAAGAUACCAGCUGGCUGCAACUGUUUAUUAAAAACACAGCACUGUGCAAACACGAAAGUGGACGUAUACGGUGUGACGCCUGCCCGGUGCCGGAAGGUUAAUUGAUGGGGUCAGCGCAAGCGAAGCUCUUGAUCGAAGCCCCGGUAAACGGCGGCCGUAACUAUAACGGUCCUAAGGUAGCGAAAUUCCUUGUCGGGUAAGUUCCGACCUGCACGAAUGGCGUAAUGAUGGCCAGGCUGUCUCCACCCGAGACUCAGUGAAAUUGAACUCGCUGUGAAGAUGCAGUGUACCCGCGGCAAGACGGAAAGACCCCGUGAACCUUUACUAUAGCUUGACACUGAACAUUGAGCCUUGAUGUGUAGGAUAGGUGGGAGGCUUUGAAGUGUGGACGCCAGUCUGCAUGGAGCCGACCUUGAAAUACCACCCUUUAAUGUUUGAUGUUCUAACGU
rnacentral:rRNA from 1 species